rnacentral:rRNA from 1 species
CGACGAGAGGCAGCAGUAGGGAAUCUUCCGCAAUGGACGAAAGUCUGACGGAGCAACGCCGCGUGAGUGAUGAAGGCUUUCGGGUCGUAAAACUCUGUUGUUAGGGAAGAACAAGUACAAGAGUAACUGCUUGUACCUUGACGGUACCUAACCAGAAAGCCACGGCUAACUACGUGCCAGCAGCCGCGGUAAUACGUAGGUGGCAAGCGUUAUCCGGAAUUAUUGGGCGUAAAGCGCGCGCAGGCGGUUUCUUAAGUCUGAUGUGAAAGCCCACGGCUCAACCGUGGAGGGUCAUCGGAAACUGGGGAACUUGAGUGCAGAAGAGAAAAGCGGAAUUCCACGUGUAGCGGUGAAAUGCGUAGAGAUGUGGAGGAACACCAGUGGCGAAGGCGGCUUUUUGGUCUGUAACUGACGCUGAGGCGCGAAAGCGUGGGGAGCAAACGGGAUUAGAUACCCUGGUAGUCCACGCCGUAAACGAUGAGUGCUAAGUGUUAGAGGGUUUCCGCCCUUUAGUGCUGCAGCUAACGCAUUAAGCACUCCGCCUGGGGAGUACGGUCGCAAGACUGAAACUCAAAUGAAUUGACGGGG